GCUUCUGGUACCCCAAAGUUUCC
rnacentral:snRNA from 1 species